rnacentral:lncRNA from 1 species
UUCUUUUAUUUUUCUACGAUUUUUAAAAAUGGUUUCUUAUCGAUAUCUAAUCUGUAAUCUAGCACUCAAAUUAGAAAAUUGGUGUCGUCUGCUCUUGUUUUCAUACGUGGCACGAAAAAUAGCAUGUAACAAAUAAAUGUGGUCGUCGUGUCUCAUUGUAGAAUCUAGAAUCGCUUAAUAGUUGAUACACACUCACGUGAUGUAACAGAUUUGAGGCCUAUGCCAGCCAUCGUAACCACAAGAUAUGCAAGAUUUUCUUGUGCUAGUAUUAACCUUUCAGCAGAAAUCUCAAUGUCUUCGCUUGGCAUCCCGUUGGAGAAACUACCGAUGUGGAUC